AACAAAGCCUGUGCAAAAGGAUUCAUUCCUCUACAAUAAGAUGGGGCAGAGAUACAUGCUAACUGAUGGUGUAGUGUUUUUUAGAUCCUGAAUCCCAGUGGAACAGCUGUCAUCAAGUGGUCUGAAGACCCCCACCAAGGAACCAAUUCAGCAGAAGAAUGCAGUUUUCUUCAUCUCUCUGUCCCAUGACUUCACCCUUUACUUUUCAAUCAAUCAGUGAUCCCCACACUUUAGCCCAUCACCCAUCCAGACCGCUUAAAAAAUCCAUCACCAGAUGUCUCAGGGAGGCACAUUUGAGGUUUCUUCUUGUCUCCUCCUUCAGCUGCUCUUUGAUUAUUAAACUCUUUCUGUGUGGCAA
rnacentral:lncRNA from 1 species